rnacentral:rRNA from 1 species
UAAAGAGUUCUAUAACUCCCAAACCCAUGUGAACAUACCUAACGUUGCCUCGGCAGGUCGCACCUACCUUGUAGCACCCUACCCUGUAGGGCCUACCCGGGAGGUGCGGGUAAGCCUGCCGGCGGCCCACCAAACUCUGUUUGAUAUUGAAUUCUGAACCUAUAACUAAAUAAGUUAAAACUUUCAACAACGGAUCUCUUGGUUCUGGCAUCGAUGAAGAACGCAGCGAAAUGCGAUAAGUAAUGUGAAUUGCAGAAUUCAGUGAAUCAUCGAAUCUUUGAACGCAUAUUGCGCCCAUUAGUAUUCUAGUGGGCAGGACCGUUCGAGCGUCAUUUCAACCCUUAAGCCUUCGUUGCUUAGUGUUGGGAGCCUACGGCAACGUAGCUCCUCAAAGUUAGUGGCGGAGUUGGUUCACACUCUAGACGUAGUAAUUUUUUAUCUCGCCUAUUAGUUGGACUAAUCCCCUGCCGUAAAACCCCCAAUUUAUAUCAAGGUUGACCUCGAAUCGGUUCAGACAAACUCGCUAAAUUGAAGCAUCUUAGUCAGCGAAGGAAAAGAAACCAACAGGGAUUGCCCUAGUAACGGCGAGUGAAGCGGCAGCAGCUCAAAUUUGAAAUCUGGCCCUCGGGUCCGAGUUGUAAUUUGUAGAGGAUGCUUUUGGCGCGGUGCCUUCCGAGUUCCCUGGAAC